rnacentral:lncRNA from 1 species
UUUCUUGAUGUUUUGCUUUGGAUAAAUGAACCGUAAUAUCAUGCGUUUCGGGACCCAUUUCCACUCGGGAAAUGACAGGAGAGUGUUCUUCCAAGAACACAGCUCUGUCCAAUUCAUUAGGGACUGUUUGGGGGGAAAGAAUAACAGAAGUUGCCUAAUCUUACAUACUCAAAUUCCGAGUUGGGUUAAGGGUUUCCUGAAGGGGUGAACUUAGUCCAGGCACGUGUCCUCUAGAGUGUUCUAUGUACUAGUAUGAAGCAGAAAAAAAUGGAGAUACGCUGUGCUGAGCAAAGUGAUAAGACUGACUGCUGGACACUCCAGAGCUUUCAUAUGCUAAUCUAUAAUAACUUCUCUCCAAAUUAUUCAAACUGAUAACCCUUUUUCCUUCAGGGUUAUGUACAAGUUGCCACCCUGUAGGAAAGACUUUCUUGCAAAUCCCAACUGAGUUACAGUUUUGUUCCAUCCUUCAAUCCUUCUUUUCACUAAUAUCAGGCUGUCCACUGGUUAGACCAGAUAUCCACUGCUCUACCAAAAUGAUUGCCAGUGUGCUGCGACUCUGUGAGCAAAUUCUUCUCCUCUGUGUGACCCAUACUGACCCGGGCACUUUCCAGAUUCUUUCUCCAUAGUGUAAGAUAUGUUCUCCUUAGGUCUGGAGAGGAGAGGAUGCCUGACUUAGCCCAGGUUGUUUAACCUUAGGAUUGUGUGUUGGUCACAAAGUGUAAAGAAGUGAGUCUGAGCAUAGCCAGUUCUGUUUCUUCCCUUUCAGAGUGACUGCCCACUGGGGUAUUAAAGCAGUUACCAGAAGCCAGGCACAGCAACAUAAUGAGGUGUGAGCAGUGCUGUCAUCCCCUGGUUGGUGCUGUUCGUAUUCCUAAUCCCUGUGGAUCCCUUUACCAUUUCUCUGCACACAGGCUUCCCAGCCAGCACCUGAGUCUCUGGUUUCUUUGUCCUAGAAUGGUUCUUGGGCUGCCUAGUUGCAAAUGCCUGGCAGUUUACACACCUCCUUCCCCCAUUAGCCCUUAACUCUUGUGGAACUAAACCAAAACUUUCUUCUAUGGAAUCUUUUCUAUUUAAUAAUCAGGGAAACUGAGAAGUAAAUUGCACAAUCUCUGUAAAAAAAUAAGUGAUUGACGUUGAGAUUUUAACCUGGCUUCCUUUGGAUCUCAAAUCUACAUACCUGCUCAUUACUCAAUACCGCUUCCCGAAAUAAGGCAGCCAGUUAACACCUAGGUCUCUCCCCAGGACAGCUCUAGGCAAAGCACUGCUAGGAAAAGCCACCCAUGCCAAGUCAGCUGCCUGUUUAUCCACCAUCCCACAGUUCUUUAAAGGUAAUCCUUUGAGAGCAGAUCAUGCUAUAUUGAA